rnacentral:rRNA from 2 species
AAAUUGAAGAGUUUGAUCAUGGCUCAGAUUGAACGCUGGCGGCAGGCCUAACACAUGCAAGUCGAACGGUAACAGGAAGCAGCUUGCUGCUUUGCUGACGAGUGGCGGACGGGUGAGUAAUGUCUGGGAAACUGCCUGAUGGAGGGGGAUAACUACUGGAAACGGUGGCUAAUACCGCAUAACGUCGCAAGACCAAAGAGGGGGACCUUCGGGCCUCUUGCCAUCAGAUGUGCCCAGAUGGGAUUAGCUUGUUGGUGAGGUAACGGCUCACCAAGGCGACGAUCCCUAGCUGGUCUGAGAGGAUGACCAGCCACACUGGAACUGAGACACGGUCCAGACUCCUACGGGAGGCAGCAGUGGGGAAUAUUGCACAAUGGGCGCAAGCCUGAUGCAGCCAUGCCGCGUGUAUGAAGAAGGCCUUCGGGUUGUAAAGUACUUUCAGCGGGGAGGAAGGUGUUGUGGUUAAUAACCGCAGCAAUUGACGUUACCCGCAGAAGAAGCACCGGCUAACUCCGUGCCAGCAGCCGCGGUAAUACGGAGGGUGCAAGCGUUAAUCGGAAUUACUGGGCGUAAAGCGCACGCAGGCGGUCUGUCAAGUCGGAUGUGAAAUCCCCGGGCUCAACCUGGGAACUGCAUUCGAAACUGGCAGGCUUGAGUCUUGUAGAGGGGGGUAGAAUUCCAGGUGUAGCGGUGAAAUGCGUAGAGAUCUGGAGGAAUACCGGUGGCGAAGGCGGCCCCCUGGACAAAGACUGACGCUCAGGUGCGAAAGCGUGGGGAGCAAACAGGAUUAGAUACCCUGGUAGUCCACGCCGUAAACGAUGUCUACUUGGAGGUUGUGCCCUUGAGGCGUGGCUUCCGGAGCUAACGCGUUAAGUAGACCGCCUGGGGAGUACGGCCGCAAGGUUAAAACUCAAAUGAAUUGACGGGGGCCCGCACAAGCGGUGGAGCAUGUGGUUUAAUUCGAUGCAACGCGAAGAACCUUACCUGGUCUUGACAUCCACGGAAGUUUUCAGAGAUGAGAAUGUGCCUUCGGGAACCGUGAGACAGGUGCUGCAUGGCUGUCGUCAGCUCGUGUUGUGAAAUGUUGGGUUAAGUCCCGCAACGAGCGCAACCCUUAUCCUUUGUUGCCAGCGGUUAGGCCGGGAACUCAAAGGAGACUGCCAGUGAUAAACUGGAGGAAGGUGGGGAUGACGUCAAGUCAUCAUGGCCCUUACGACCAGGGCUACACACGUGCUACAAUGGCGCAUACAAAGAGAAGCGACCUCGCGAGAGCAAGCGGACCUCAUAAAGUGCGUCGUAGUCCGGAUUGGAGUCUGCAACUCGACUCCAUGAAGUCGGAAUCGCUAGUAAUCGUGGAUCAGAAUGCCACGGUGAAUACGUUCCCGGGCCUUGUACACACCGCCCGUCACACCAUGGGAGUGGGUUGCAAAAGAAGUAGGUAGCUUAACCUUCGGGAGGGCGCUUACCACUUUGUGAUUCAUGACUGGGGUGAAGUCGUAACAAGGUAACCGUAGGGGAACCUGC